rnacentral:piRNA from 1 species
AGCAGGGAGAUGAAGAGGACAGAAACU